CUACAAAGAUGCAGAGGACACCAGACCACCAGACCAAGGUAUCGAACUCAGGACUUUGUGGUUGCAAAGCAGGUGGCAGAACCACUGAGCUAAAUCCCCGGCCAAGAUGUUUACAUGUUUUAAGGAUUGGGUUCAGCAACAAUAACUCAGCAGUUUCACCAUUAAUGUUGAGGGGAAACAAUGUUGAAAAUCAAAUCAUGCAGAAAUGUGCCUUCAUCAAUGUGGUAUUUAUGCUAACCUUGUUGAAUUUUAGUAUUUAAAAAAGCACAUUAAGUUGGAAUAGCUAGUUCAGUUUACUUAAGAAUAGAUUUGGGCAUCAGUAAGGUUUCUCUUAUUUUACUACCAAUGAAUUUAACCCUUAAAAAGACAAUGUGUUUCUGCGUUCAAUCAUGCUGUUUAUAUUUUUACAAUAUGCUAACUUAAUGUGGUGUGUUGACAUAUCUAAAAGAAUCGCCUACAGUAGUUUUUUAAAGUGUUUUGAAUAAAGCAAUUUUAGAUGACAAUUUAAGUCAAAUUAUAAUUUAUACUUUUUUACACUAAAAACUAAAUGAUUACAGGAAUUUAAUAUUUUUAUAUCCAAAGUCAAAGUCAGUAUUCAAUCAAGUUGCUGCCUUUCAACAUACUAGUUUAAUUGCUGAUAACUCAGGGUUACUGAUCAGAGCUAAUGCUUGGCUAAAGUCAUGUAAUAUAUACAGAAAGCAACCAAUUUUAGUUUUAUUGAAGCUGUUGUUUGGAAACAAUAGACUAAUUCAAUGAUGGUUAGAAAAGAAACAUUGUUUCAGUAUAUUUGGGUGAAGCUUUGUUCUGGGUAAUCAUAGUGCUUAAUUAAGGCUAUAAUGUAUGGUGUUUGCAAACAGUAUCAAACUAUCCUGUAUUGAGGUAUUGUUAACUUAUUCGUUAGAAAACAAACUAGUAAUAAUUUCAAAUCACUUAUCAGCAAAAAAAUAAUCAUUUCAUGGGCCAGUAAGAAAUUUCUAAAGAGCUCUGUAAUGAAGUUAUGAAGCUCAAAAGUAUAUGAAGACAAUUUGUAGGUCAUAAAGUACCGUAAAAUUAUUUAAAUCAUUAUUAA